rnacentral:rRNA from 1 species
AGGGGGCAAGCGUUAUCCGGAUUUACUGGGUGUAAAGGGAGCGUAGACGGCAUUGCAAGUCUGAUGUGAAAGAUUGGGGCCCAACCCCAGGCCUGCAUUGGAAACUGUAAAGCUGGAGUACAGGAGAGGUAAGCGGAAUUCCUAGUGUAGCGGUGAAAUGCGUAGAUAUUAGGAGGAACACCAGUGGCGAAGGCGGCUUACUGGACUGUAACUGACGUUGAGGCUCGAAAGCGUGGGGAGCAAA